rnacentral:lncRNA from 1 species
GCAUGCCGGGAAACAUUGGAUCUUUGUUCUUUACUAAUUGAAAAUAAAAUUAGUAUUUGAACCUAGAAAGAAACGGGAAUUCAUAAGCCUAAGAAUUAUCCCGAUAUGUUACAAGUUUAUUUUUUUAUCACGUCGUUUACAAUGUCGCAAGAAACGAUAUCAGGAUAUGAUGUUUUAGUUGUUAGUUGCUAUAGUCAAAUGAGAAGGCAUCACUCCACUAGGUUCAAUUUCAGAUGAAAUCAUGUCCACGGGUCUGCGUAUCAGUCUUCUCUGCUUGCCUUAGGCAGCAGCCAUUUGAUUUUCUGGGAGGGGGCUAUGGAUUUUUUU